AGCUAAAUAAAUCUCACUGGUCUUGUAGAAUCAAACUUCAAUAAUCCUUGAAUUGGAAAAUUCGAACUCAGCAGUACAUUGCAGAGAGUGUUUAUAAUGUAAAUGAAAUAUCUUU